rnacentral:tRNA from 1 species
GGGGUUGUGGCUCAGUGGCAGAGUGCUCACCUAGCAUGUGUGAGGCACUGGGUUUGAUUCUCGGCACCGCA